CUGUCCUUUUCAACAAGUACAACACUUGAAAUAUCAUCAGGUGCUCUUCCAGACCUCCUUAGCAGCUUGCUACCAGCCUCACUCUGGAGAGCUUCAUACCUGAUUCUCCUAUUCCGAUCAUUGUCACGCACAAACCUCACUCCUCCAUUGCAAAGGUUACACACGCCAUCGAACAACAUGAUGGGUCUGGAGUCUCUGUCAAAGAAGCUAUUGGUUGCCUUGACCCAGUCGAC
rnacentral:misc_RNA from 1 species